rnacentral:rRNA from 1 species
UACGUAGGUCCCGAGCGUUGUCCGGAUUUAUUGGGCGUAAAGCGAGCGCAGGUGGUUUAUUAAGUCUGGUGUAAAAGGCAGUGGCUCAACCAUUGUAUGCAUUGGAAACUGGUAGACUUGAGUGCAGGAGAGGAGAGUGGAAUUCCAUGUGUAGCGGUGAAAUGCGUAGAUAUAUGGAGGAACACCGGUGGCGAAAGCAGCUCUCUGGCCUGUAACUGACACUGAGGCUCGAAAGCGUGGGGAGCAAACAGG